CCUACGGGUGGCAGCAGUAGGGAAUCUUCCACAAUGGGGGAAACCCUGAUGGUGCGACGCCGCGUGGGGGAAUGAAGGUUUUCGGAUUGUAAAUUCUUUUCAUGUGGGAGCAAAUUAAACAGAUAGUACCACAAGAGGAAGAGACGGAUAACUCCGUCGCCGCAGCCGCGGUAAUCCGGGGGUCUCAAGCGUUGUCCGGAAUCAUUGGCCGUAAGGCGUGCGUUGGCGGGUUCGAAAGUAGUGGUUGAAAGGCGCGGGUUAAACGCGCGAACGGCACAUGAUACUGCGAGACUGGUGUGGUGGUGGGGGAAGAGGAAUGCGUGGUGUAGCAGUGAAAUGCGUAGAUAUC
rnacentral:rRNA from 1 species